rnacentral:rRNA from 1 species
UACGGGGGGAGCAAGCGUUCUUCGGAUUUACUGGGCGUAAAGGGCGCGUAGGCGGCGUGGUAAGUCACUUGUGAAAUCUCUGAGCUUAACUCAGAACGGCCAAGUGAUACUGCUGUGCUCGAGUGUGGAAGGGGCAAUCGGAAUUCUUGGUGUAGCGGUGAAAUGCGUAGAUAUCAAGAGGAACACCUGAGGUGAAGACGGGUUGCUGGGCCAACACUGACGCUGAGGCGCGAAAGCCAGGGGAGCAAACGGG